UAUUACCUUUGAAGGAAAGUAUUAGUCAGGCAGAUCUGCUUCUGUUAUGAGCUAUUUUCUGAGAACUCAGCAGCUCUCUAUGAAAAAUUCCGUGUGCUCAUUUGAUUUACUUUUAGUAAUUAAAGCGCAUUUUGUAACUAAAGUGAUUAUAAUCAACCAGAAAAUGUCUGUAGGUUGCCAAUGUCCGUGUGGGAUCACAAGUCUUGCUUAAGGAGCAAAAAGAAAUCCAUAACCUGUUUGUUAAUCAAACGACGAUGAAGACUGAGCAGAUUUCAAAUUGGGUACCCUGACGUCAGAGGAGUAGACUCCCUCCUGGGCCUGUAAACAUUUCUUCAAGCCUCAGCUGGGGCAAAACAAUAGCACGAGUGGAUAUUCCUUCGAGGCCCAGCUUAUUAUUUGAGACAGCUGCCUGGAAGUCUCAAAACACAAGGAGCUUCCUGAUCUGGAAAACAUCUGAGUUAACUUCGAUGGCGGGGAUAUUCACAUUCCCAGUAAACCUCGGGAAAGAGGCACUUCAAUCCUCUCCAUGACCUGGUGCUCCAGGGCAAAUGGAUGGAGCUAAUUUGAAAUGGUUGCAAACGG